UCAAAAUGAUAUAAUGCAAAAUGUUUUGUGUCUAAAAAUAAAGGUAUACUGGACCCAAAUUUCAUAUUUAAAAAACAUCAACAAAUGCUUGUACAGUUGUUCUGUAUACAAUAGUGAGUGAGUUGGGUUUUACGGCAAACCGACACAAAAAGGCCAUAACCCGGCUGUACAUUUUCCAGGUUCACCCUGGAAAUGAUGCUGGAAAUACCUGGUAUUACAUGGUAAUCCAUGGAAAUCCCUGGUAAAUGAUGACUUUUCCAUAUUCUGUUACAUGAAAUGUGGUAUAAUUUCCAUGUAAUGUGGAAUUUUAUUUCCAGCCUUUUCCAGCAUAGGCUGGACUAUGAUGGAAAGAGGCUGGACAACAGAGGUAAAAGGCUGGAAACUUCUGGAAUUGAUUCCAUGGCAACAUGGAAAGUGGAACUUAGUAAUUUUUAAGGCUGGAAAAAUAUGGAAAAAACUUUGAAAUUUUACAGACCACCAUGGAAAGAACUUAGUUAUUUUUUAAUCAAAAUAACUGAGGAAUAAAUUUAAAAUGCUUCUUUUUCAGUCCAGGGUGGUAAAGGCUGAUCAUGACUAUUGCAAGCUUGCAGAAAGCUUACGCAAGCUUGCGUGUAUUAACAUACAGAAUUCUGCAAGCUUGCGAUAGCUUUGCAAGCUUGCGCAAGCUUUUUUAGUUGCAAGCUUGCGCAAGCUUUUUCUGUUAAAGCUGGACUUAGAAAAUUUCAUGCCAGUUGUAAGGUGGGAAGCAGUAAAAAAUUCUAAGUUGAGAAACAUGGAAAAAAUCUAUAAAAAAUCAUUAUUUGAUGAUGAUUUAUUUUUAUUUUAACAUAUUGGUAUUCAAAUUAAAUGACAUGAAACAAAGAAUCUAAAUAUCAGGUAAACAUUUAUUUUUUCUAUAUAUGUCUAUAUAAGGGCAUGUCACACUAAAUACCAAAACUAUCAAUUUGUCUGUAGCAUGCACAAUAUAAAUAAGACAAUAAAAUAUGACAAAAAAAUAUCUUUAACACUUUUAUACAUUUUAUGUUGAGAAUGUCUGAAUUGAUCAUACAGAGAAAACUGUACAAGUGUACAUGUAAGUAUAUAAGUCAUAAUAUUAUGGAAUAAUAUAUGAUAUACAGGUGAUAUUCUCUUAACUUUUACUCAGUAGCAAAGCUGCCAUUUUUAGAGGAUGGGGUUAGUUAUAUAUAAUCUGACAAUUUUUUUUUUUUAAUUUUUCUGUCCAGAAAGAGGAAAUCAGCUGAAAAAGGAAAAAUCACAUCCUUGAAAUUUUAAACUAAUAUUAAAAUUUAUUGAAAUAUCAUGCUUUUUUUUCUCCUAGAAAACAACAGCUGCAGCAACAGUAAUUGCAUGAAAUAGUACAAUUCUUUUCACCAAUUCAUUAAAAGUUACCUGGCAAAGGGAUUCCUAGAUAAGUGAUAAAUCAUUUGGGUCUAUUAAUCUACUACAGUGUAUGUAUAUUGCUUGUCUCACUACAGGAGAUUAUCUCAUGCAGACUGAUAAGAUCUGGCACAUGCUUUAUAUUUAGAAACUCAUAACAAGAGAUCAACCAAUGAAAAUAAAGUCAGGGAACUACUUCUGGGGGCUGUACAUGUACCACAAAAAGUAAUCCAUAGUUUUUUCUGUUUUAUAUCAGAGUAAUCUUCAAAAUUUAUGAGUAUGUGAUUGAAUGAAAUAAAAUCUUCCUCUAGUACAAAAAUGUUUUAACAUCAUAGAUGUAUCAUUACCUUCAUUAGCUGACUGUAAAUGGCACAUUUGCUCAAGAAUAUCAAAAUUUCAAAUCUACACAGGAAGUUCUUUGACAGAGAGCAGAAUGGAGUAAAUAUUUGGGAGAGUGUUUCCCUAAAUAUUUUACUGUGUGCAGCUUAUUUCAUCUUGGAAGUUAACAAUAAUUAACAGAAUGCACCAGGUAUAGCAUCAUAUGUGUAUAUAAAGUAUCAGCACACAUGAAUGAAUUGAGACAUGUUUAGUGACCCAAUGUAUUGUGUUCAAAGGCUCCAUCCAACAGUUCAAAGACAUGUCAUAGCAGUGGAGCAAAUGGUGGCAAAUGAUGGCUUUGUGGUGGUUAGUGAAAAACUGUGGCAAUCUACAUUGGUGGUGGCAAACACUGACAGAAAAUUUCUGGACCAGCAGUGACAUUAAGUUGAAAACAAGUGAAUGAAGUAUUGCCAUGCAAUACAAAGUCCCCUACUGGAAGGCACCUAAUUUUUUCUACUGCAGUAUAACAUAAUGAACUGAUAUCUGUCAAUGAUGUAUAAACAAUAUUGUACUACAUAUACAAUAUGUUAUAACAUUAUAACAACACACUUGGAUUAAAAUGUGCAUAUAUAAAAACCCACAGUUGUUUUCAUAUUGAAUUUUUUUGGUUGAUUAUAAAAAUGUUAUCAUGUAAGUUAUUUAUAGUAACAACAAAGGGAAAUUAAUCUUUAAAAAAAAAAAAAAAAAAAAAAAAAAAAAAAAAAAAAAAAAAAAUAAUAAUAUAAGUCCACAAGAAACUCUUUACCAGGUAGAGAUAGGUCAAAAUACACCUAAAAAUUGGAUGUAACAUGCAUGCUGUACCACAGAAAAGUGGUCCCGAUUUUUCUCUACUGCCAGUAAUAAAAAAGUUACAAUAAAAUCUAUUUAUAGUAACAACAAAGGGAUGUAAUUCUAAAAACAAGGGUGCCUCAUGGUGGUGAACAUUUGGUCCAAGCUACAUCAAAAUCCCUCCAUGCAUGAAGAAGAAAUGUUCCAUACAAAGUCAUUCUUGAAUUUGACCUUUGACUUCUAAAUAUGACCUUGACCUUAGACCUAGGGACCUGGUUCUUGCGCAUGACAUGUUGUCUCAUCCAGGGGAAUAUUUGUGCCAACUGAUAUCUAAAUCCUGCUUUGCAUGACAAAGUUAUAGACCGGACAGGAAAAAAAUCCUCUUGACCUUUGAUCUCAAAGUGUGACCUUGACCUUUAAGCUAGGGUACUGGGUGUUGCGCAUGACAUGUUGUCUCAUCAUCGGAAACAUUUGUGCCAAGUAAUAUUAAAAUCCCUUCAUGGAUGGCAGAGUUAUGGACAGGACAGGAAAAAAACUCUGUUGACCUUUGACCCCCAAUUGUGACCUUGACCUUUGAGCUAGGGGUCCGGGAUUUGCGCAUGACACGUCGUCUCAUCAUGGGGAACACUUGUGCUAAGUAAUAUUAAAAUCCCUUAAUGAAUGUCAGAGUUAUGGACCGGACACGAAACAGACCCUGUUCAUGCUAUGAUAACAUUUGACUGCUAAGUGUGACCUUGACCUUUGAGCUAGGGGUCUGAAAGUUGUGCAUGACAUAUCGUCUUAUUAUGAGGUACAUUUGUGCCAAGUAAUAUUAAAAUCCCUUCAUAGAUGGGAGAGUUAUGGACCGGACAGGAAAAAAACCUUGUUGACCUUUGACCUCCAAUUGUGACCUUGACCUUUAAGCUAGGGGUCCAGGUUUUGCGCAUGACACGUCGUCUCCUCAUGGGGAACAUUUGUGCCAAGUAAUAUUAAAAUCUCUUCAUGGAUGGGAGAGUUAUGGACCGGACAGGAAAAAAGCCCUGUUGACCUUUGACCUCCAAUUGUGACCUUGACCUUUGAGCUAGGGGUCCGGGAUUUGCGCACGACACAUCAUCUCAUCAUGGGGAACAUUUGUGCCAAGUAACACUAAAAUCCCUUCAAGGAUGGGAGAGUUGUGGACUGGACAGGAAAAAAGCCCUGUUGACCUUUGACCUCCUAUUGUGGCCUUGACCUUUGAGCUAGGGGUCUGGGUUUUGCGCAUGACACGUCGUCUCAUCAUGGGGAACAUUUGUGCCAAGUAAUAUUAAAAUCCCUUCAUGGAUGACAGAGUUAUGGACCGGACACGAAAUUGCGGACGGACGGAAUGACGGAAUGACAGAAUGACGGAAUGACGGAAUGACGGAAAAGAGCAUUCCUAUAAUCCCCAAAACUGGUUUUCAACCAGUAGGGGACUAAUAAUGACAUAUUUUACACUGUACUGAAGAUGUAAUUGCGAAAAAUAUUCAAGAAAUAAUAUAUCUCAUUCAGUGAUUUGUCGCUGAAUAAAUCAUUGUUUGGAGUUCAGAUGCGAAGGAAUUAUAUCACGAGGGCACAACAUUACUGAAAGGAUUUUCAUCAAACUUUCAUAAGUGAACAAUCUUGAUGGGUAGAUACAACUACAAUUACAUUGCAUCCAAAAUCAGUGGCACAGAAACCAGUAGGGGACUAUGUAUUGCCUUGCAAUACUUCAGCACCUUGUUGUUUUAUAUGUGUAACCUGUAAAUGAUUAUUGGUGUGUUUUAUAAAGUUAAGAAGUCCUAGAUGAAAUUUUUAGUUUUUAAUUUUAGCCUCACCGAUGGACAUGCACUGCUUAGGGGAGCUCAUUUGUGAUCAUCCUUUGUCCAAGACCGUGAAUCAAACCUACAUCCUGCUGCACACAGCAUUUUCAUUUAGGAUAUAAUCAUAUGGGGUAUAACUUUUUGCUAUUUCAGGGCCCUUAGAACUAGGCUGGAAUAUUUUCCAGGUUAUACCCGGCUCAUUUUUCAGCAUUCCCUGGAAAAUUUACCAUGGUAAAACCUGGAACAUUUUCCAGCCUAAUCCAGGCUAUGCUUGAAAAUGUUCCAGGCUUUUCCAGACUUUGGUUAAAAAAUGGUCCGAAUACUCCAGGUUCAUGGAAAAACAGGAAUUUUAUGCCUGGCAGCCUGGAAGAUGUUCCAGAUUUUACCAUGGUAUAUUUUCCAGGGAUGCUGGUAUAUCAUGGUACAUAUUCCAGCCUUGGCUUUUUCAAAUUUUCCGCACUGAUAAUUUGGUUAGGCUGGAAAAGGCUGGAAACUUAGUCCGAAUACUCCAGGCUUUUUUUUCCCAUGGAAUUCCAUGGUAAACCCUGGAACUAUUUCACCCGGGAUAUAUCGCCGAGAAAAAGUUAAAUUGAUAAUGUUAGUGUAUACAUUAAAUUAACAUCUUAAUGUGAAUUAACAGAACUAUACACUAAAAAUAGUGCACAUUGCAUAGUACAUGUUUAGCUGAAAACAGUAUAAAUAUAUGCUACCACGAAAACAC